AGGCCGUGAUGAGGACACUUACUUAGUAGCCCCUUGAACCUUUCCCAAGUUUCAUAUAAGGAUUCCCCAUCCUCUUGUGAAUAUGUAUUAAUUUCAGUAAUUAAUUU
rnacentral:snoRNA from 1 species